UUUAUUUUUCCCAAAAUAGUGUCGGGGUUUUUUUUUUUUUUGGUUUGUUUGUUUUUGCUGCCGUCGGUGUCAUCUCGGUAGUCAUUAUUCCGUCAUCAAAAUCCAGGGUGGACAAAGGCUCUUGAUGUUUUCCUGAUGCAAAAAUAACAACGCACUCAAACGAGCAAAAAAACGGCAAUCUCAUUUUCAUGCAGAGAUGUAAUUAGUGUCCACAGCCUCGAUUUCCCAGGAGAUGACGACGGCGGGCCAACACACGCUACUAAUCCUCAAAUACCUGACUCACAGUUUUAAUUAACUGUUGUCACAUCCUGCCAACCCAUCCGGACGCACUUCUGGCCCCUCCAUCCAAAGAGAGCCGAAGCUUUAUCGCAUCAUGAGGGAAAAUAGACGAAACUGGACUGAGUAGGAGGGAGCAGACCCUUGCCGUCCAACAACAACAUUAAGAACACUGCAAGAAAAACACAGUGGUGCAAUCGGUGUGUCUCUUCUCAAGUUGGAGGUGAGGGGCCGGGCACCAAAUUGUUUGAUUCGCUUUCGUGUUUGUUCAGAAACUUCCACUUGAAAUGUCAAUCAACAGCUUGACUCAAGCACAGGUUGAUUCUUUCUCAAGAGCUGUGAGGACCACAUGGUCAGGGAGAACAAAAUUAUCUUACCAGUGUCAGACGGGGCCAAGAUGUAUCGGGUGUCGUAGUAUUCGAGCAUUUUUAUACAUUUGAGUAACUGACUUACAGUAUCGGCACAGCCACUUGCCGAUUUUUUUUUUCUUAUCACCUGCUGAGUCGCUCACGUUCUAAAAUCCAACCACCCAUCCAUUGUCUUUACCGCCGAGUCCAGUUAAAAAAAAAUCAGUUUGUGUGCCCAGCUUUUGAAUCGUCAUCACUUUUCUUCCCCUGAGUUUGAGCCAGAUUUUGUCACACGUCGCUUGUGUCAGACGACACUCUCUGCUGACGGGCGUGCUUUAUGAUCAUGACAAGAGCUGAGAUAUUUGAGAUUUGCACUCAGAAGAAAGCUUGUGUUCAUCAAUUUGGAAAAAAAAAGGAAAAGAAGUUUCUCUCUGCCCAACAAAAAAAAAAGACCCCCAAUCUGCUUUGGAUGGUGAACCACUGCAUCAGCAACUUGUCUUUGAGAUCAAGCUCUAAUCUCGCCGCCUUCUCCUCAAUCGCAUUAGAGUGACUGAGCGUGAGAGUGUUCUUUCACUUGAAUGCAGAAUGUACGCUGAUGCUGCAGGGGGGAGGGGGGGUCCUAUGACAGUGACUGACUCUCCCUGUGUUUGAGCUGUCAUUGCAGGUGCAGGCAAGGCGGGGGGGAGGGGGGGUCAACCUGCUCAGUGCACAUCAUCGCACCAACCGGUCAUAAAAGAAAAACAACCAGAUGACGAUUCUCAACAUCUGUUGCAUGCUCCCGUCCUGUUUUCCAACCACAGCCCCCCCCCCAUCCCCCCAAAUCCUGUCAGAGCGUGUCCGUAUCCUGGCCAACCACUGGCUCAACCCCCAUUGCCCGUUCCCCCGUCUUCCCCGCCUCAUGUUGAGUUUGGAAAUCCACAACAAAACACCUGGGGUGUCUCCUCAGGACAAUAUGUGCUACUUCUGGGGGUUGUGAUGUCAUCCUCCCACAACGGCGCUGUGCUUUCACACCAGAGUGAGUCACAUAGCUUGAGCUCUUCACCGUGUGUGUGCGGGGCACGAGAAAUACUUUGAAUUCCGUAUAUGCCUCUACCUCUUCCCCGAACGUGUCAGGGAAAAGGUGCCUCUGUACAUCUCGACAGAGAGAGGCUUGAGCUUGGAAAAAUUCUGACAGCCACUGAGAUGUUUUGAUGCCCUCACGUGGCAUGUGCAGCGCCAGAGAUGCACUCCGGUCCAAGUAAGUAAAAGAGUCUUAAAGGGAUUCAUAAGUAAUGCAUAGCCCAGGCUUGUAAUGGACUUGGCGCAAUGCCGCUCAAACCCACACGGGACUGUUUCCCGACUCGCUCCUCUUGGCCCAUGAAGAAAUAUUUUAUCCGUCCAUUCAAUUUCUUCAGGGUUUGUUCUCGCCAUAGACCCGUGGGUGAACAGGAUUCAGCGGAUUUUUGGGAUAGAGGCGCCCCAAACCGGUCGGCAGCCACCCAGAAGAAAUAUUCAUAUACAGUAUUGUAGGAGUACGUGUUGAGUUGACCUGACUUAUUGUUCAGAUUUUUUUUCCAGAAAUGUCAACGGUAUGCAGUUCUGAGAAGAUUGAAGCAUCACUAUUAAAAACCUUGCUGCACUUCUUCGGAAUAAGCAUAUGCCGUGAUGCGUGGCACCCAUCCAGAAAGAAGCAAAUGCAGCUUGCCAUACUGAGGUCUGGCAAGAAUUCUGAAGAGUG